UCCGUGUCUUCAUGGUCUCCGCUGAGAAGUCUUGUGCAAAGAUCUUGUGGUUCUUGUGGGUGAUCACACGCUUUUUGGCUGUUUGAAACACAAACUCCCGAUCUUGAAAUAGUGAAAAACGGAUGAUUACCGCUCUGCUCUGACCCGGCCUUGGUUUCGCCAAAGUGCGGUGUGCCCUUUCCAAGACGAAGGUUCUAGAGGUAUCAAGACCCAGCCAAAUCGGUAGCAUGUAUUGAAUGAACUCCACCAUGGGUCAAGUUUUUUCCACUGACUCUGGUAAUCCCACAAGCCUCAAAUUCUUGCGUCUCCUGCGAUUCUCCAAGUCCUCUGUCUUUGACUCCAAAUAAGCGAUGCGUUUUACAGCAUCAGUCAGCUGCAGUUUCACUCUUUCUAUGUCAUCUUCGGCGGUCCCUAUCUGGUCCUCCGCCUCCGUUAGCCGCUUAUCAUUAGCAAUGAUAUCCACUUUUAGAUCAGCAAAACUUCUCUGCACAGCAGCAACAGAGCCAUUUAUCUCAGUUAUACGUUUCUCUACAUUGUCAAGCUUAUUCCCAAAGUCAUCCACAGCACUUAUCUUUGUGUUAAUCGAAGAGACAGUGGUAUGCAGAGACUGCAGCUCACUUAGCAUCAGCGGCUACCACAUUCAUGGUAGUUGUUCUGUUUCUUUGUGAGCCGCGUGGUUUUGGUCCAACCCCACAGUCUUCAAUGGUCGAUUGUUUAGACAUCGUGCUGACCCGGUUUUAAGCGUGAAUAAGUCGGAUUUUCAAGAUUUUUUGCAAAGUCGCGGGGAGCACUCAAACUAAGCUGCCAUCUCGCUCCGCGGUCCCACAGCGCCCCCCGACUACAGUAUUUCUAAAAUAAUUUUAUGAAGCGACAAGAAUACUUUUUGUGCGCAAAGAAAACAAAAAUAAUUACUUUAUUUAACAAUUCUCCUCCGCGUCACCCCGGCACCAUUUUGGAGAGUAUCCACAGAAUGUAAACAACGUAUGCAGCAUCACACGGAAAUGUUGUUUUCAUUCAGAUCAAAGCUUAAACAACGUAGACAAUGUAUCCACGUGGCGCUGCUGACACAGAACAGCAUACUUUGUAUCUGUUCAGUGGAUACUCUUCAAAAUGGCGCCAGGGUUAUGUGGAGGAGAAAAACUGGUGAAUAAAGUCAUUAUUUUUGUUUUCUUUGCGCA
ensembl:lncRNA